CCAUUCUUUUAUGCAGAAAAUUUCAGGUUUCAUUCAGAAUUACAUAACAAGAACAUGGCAAAAUCAUUGGCAACAGAAACCAAGUCAGAGAGGCAAAACACUCUUAUUAGAAUUAGUUGCAGGACUUAAACAAGUAAUCAUUUGAUUGCUAUUAUUCAGCUACACAUCCCUCUACCCUUCAAGACAUGCCUCCUUAGACCAGGAAUAUGAACAUUUUUUAUAUAAUCUCUCCAAUCUAUACUCUCCACAUCAAAUCCAAAUUUCUUCUUCUCAGCUUCAGACAUGCUUUCAAUCAAUCUUCGAGUAUUGCUGUUAUCAAACCUUCCACCAUAAAAAGUGUAUGGUUCAUAUAUAUUAGCCAAAUACUUAGCUUGCUCCACUGAUUUUCUGCAUAUAAAUUCAUGUUUUAAAGACAGCUUCCUAUCUGAUGAUGCCAAUUCUGCUAACCCAUUUCGUUGAAUCACAUCUUUCCAGAGAUGAUCAGAGAAAUCUUCCAUAGAACUGAAGAGCUUCAUCGAUGGAACGUGGAUCGGCCUGCCGUUGGAGUCCAUGUAAGGGGAGGAAUUGUAAUGUUCAUAGAGCAGUUUAGCCAACUCUUCAAAAGCUAGUGGAUUUACAACUGAUGAAGCAAUUUGGUAGACAUUUAUGCCUGAUUUUUGAACCAUUCCAUGCCUGGCUAUUGCUGCUAAGGUUGCAUUGACUACCAUAUCUGCUGGGACGACAUCAAGAACCCCAUUUGGGUCCACCAGAAAUCCUGUAAGCUGCCCUUUUCCAUAGUACAAAAUUAUUGGAUCCAUCAUCCUGUUUCCUUCCAUCCAUCCUGGAAAUGGCUCUCUGCAAGUGCUUUCAAUGACACUAGGCCUAAUUAUCACCACUGGAAUGUCUCCUCUCAAGCUAUCAAUCAUCAUUUCCCCCAUUGCUUUUGUGAACACAUAUGUGUCUUGCCACCCAAAUUUUCUUGCCCUGUUCAGGAGUCAACUUUCUAAACCCAACUCUUUCAUCUUUUGAGCCACUUCAUUUUCUUGGAAAGCUUCUUUGGAGUUCAAAGCCAAUUUCAUUUCAUUUUCAACAUGCAAGGUUGGUAGAAAUCUUGGUGUAGUUUCGGAGACGAUACUUUCCUCGGCUAUGCAAUCUCCAAUACAGAAUGGCUUUUCCAUAAUUCUUCCUUGUCUUUGUCCAUUAACAUAAGCAGUUGAUACUUGCAGGAAGAGCUUGAGCUUUUGGCACUUCUUUGCAAAGCUCAUAAGGUGGCAAGGUCCCCUAGUGUUGAUGUCAAUAGCAACAUCAUAUCUUUCAUCAAAAGUUGUAUUAGCUGCAGAAUUAACGAUCACAUCAAUUUCACUGGCAAUCAAGUUGGCUAAAUCUUCUUCCAACCCAAGAUUAGAUUCACAAACGUUUCCCACCACUGGCACUAAUUUGCUCAACAUGAAAGCUUGGUAGGAUUUUCCAUAGGCUUGCUGGAGACACUUGAAUAGCUCUGCAUUUAUUAUUUCACUUUUUAAUCUCGCCAUUGCAGCUUCCAUGUUUUUAGCCUUGAUCAAAACAUAUAUCUUUCCCACAUCAGGCACAGUCCGUAAAAUCUUCUCUAUAAGAACUUUUGCCAGGAACCCAGUUGCACCUGUGAUAAAGAAGCCCUUUCCUGCAAGAAAUUUGACAAUGCCAAUGCCAUCUUGAACCUCCACUAGAGAAGAGCUAGUUGGUCCACCAUAAGAAUCAAAAUCCUUAAUAGCAAUUUCAGGUUGGGCCUUGUUCCCAUUUGGAGACAAAACCAAGCUUCCUGCUGCAUCCAUUACAGCUGCACUAUGAUCCUCACCAACUAAAGUUGACGAUCUUUCUGUCAAAACUGAGGAAAAUCCAAUAGACCUUAUUGCCUUUCCACCACCUUGGCAAUAUACAAGAGUGCUAAAACUGAUCUUCUUCUUCCUCAAGAAGCACCAUUCACAUUUACCAGACAUUUUAGCAGGUUUAUUAGUUGCAAGUGUGGGAGAAUUGAGGAACAAAGACCCCAUUACUACAAGAAACGAGAAAAUUUGAGAUGGACAAAGAAAAUUGCCAAACUAAAUUCUCUUUUGCAGUUAAAAAAAUGGUUGGCUUGAAACCUUAGCUAAUAACUAUCUAAAACAAGUUACAAAAGUAA
rnacentral:misc_RNA from 1 species